rnacentral:lncRNA from 1 species
AGCUGUCCAUGCUGGGCAGCUCUGACAGGCCCUCCUCCAUCUCUUUUUUCCAGAAUGGGCAAAUUCCUGGAGAAGAUGCUGGAAGACUUCUCUCCAAGGCCUCCACAGAUGUCUCCUGGACGGAGAGAGACUCGGCCUCCUGUACCCAGAAGGUAAGAGCCCAGCGGGGGGAAGGGGGAGAGCGCUGGUGUUCAGGGUGGGGUGAGUCUGGCCCAAGUCCCCUGGGAGGGCUCCUCGCCCAUGGCCCGGGGCUGGAUCCCCAGGGGACACUAUAAGAGGCAUUGGCAGCUGGCGUCUCCCCAACACUUCUUGCUGUGAGUCCCACUGGCUGGCGGCUGGGGGAGGGUCCCAGGGGGCUCACACAGGAGGUUUGGGCUGGUAGAGUGGGAAGCCCCUAACCUGCCCCGGGAGGGGGGGAGACGGCACCGUGGGCCGGACAGGAUGUGACUCCCAGCCUCGGCUGUAAUCUCUCCCCACCUGCUUCCCCCGGAGCCCACAGCCCCAGUUCUGUCUUCCUGGCACCUGGAGCCUGUUUCUCUGCCCCUGAGCCGGCUCCAUGGGCCCCCAGGCGCUGGCGCCCGGCCGGUUGGUCGCCCCCCUGUCUGUUCCAGUCCCAUCUUAACCAUUCUUCCAGCCCCUAAUGGGGAGGAGGAAGCUCUGAAGGCAAAGUUUGGGUGGGAGCCGGGUGAGGGGAGUGUUCCUGAGCCCCCCAGGGCCCACAGGGUCUGAGCCAGGGUCCCUGAGUCCUUCAUUUAACAUAUGAGGGAAUUGAGGACCUGAGGGCAAGUGACUUGUUCAAGAUCAUCCCGGCAGUGAGCUACAGAGCCAGGAUUUGGAACCUUGAUCCACUUCUGCAGACCCCAUCGAGCCUGGGAGCAGUUCUAGCCUAUGGGAUCCCACGUGUGUCCGUGGGGGGCGGUUCUGUGGCCCAAGGGACUGGGGGACAGCGGAGGAGGGGCCUGGGCCGCAGUGAGCAUCUUCUCUGGCCUCCCGGGGGAUGAGCUGCAGGGCAGCUUUGCCCUUGUGUACCCCAGCGCCCAGUCUGAGCCCCGAGGGGCUCCCCAGACCUGGCUCAGGACAGCCCGCCGGACCCUCCUCGCUCUUCACUCAGGUUCUGACCCAUUUCAAGGCUGGUCACGG